GGGCUCGUAGAUCAGGGGUAGAUCGUCACGUUCGCAACGUGAAGGCCGCGGGUUCGAAUCCCGCCGGGUCCAC
rnacentral:tRNA from 1 species